rnacentral:rRNA from 1 species
CCUACGGGAGGCAGCAGUGAGGAAUAUUGGUCAAUGGGCGGAAGCCUGAACCAGCCAAGUAGCGUGCAGGAUGACGGCCCUACGGGUUGUAAACUGCUUUUAUACGGGAAUAACGCGCCUUACGUGUAGGGCUUUGCAUGUACCGUAUGAAUAAGGACCGGCUAAUUCCGUGCCAGCAGCCGCGGUAAUACGGAAGGUCCGGGCGUUAUCCGGAUUUAUUGGGUUUAAAGGGAGCGUAGGCCGGAUGUCAAGCAUGCUGUGAAAUGUCCGGGCUCAACCCGGGCCUUGCAGCGGAAACUGGCGUGCUUGAGUCCGCGGAAGGCAGGCGGAAUUCGUCGUGUAGCGGUGAAAUGCUUAGAUAUGACGAAGAACCCCGAUUGCGAAGGCAGCUUGCUGCAGCGGAACUGACGCUGAUGCUCGAAAGCGCGGGUAUCAAACAGGAUUAGAUACCCUAGUAGUC